UACGUAGGGUGCAAGCGUUGUCCGGAAUUAUUGGGCGUAAAGAGCUCGUAGGUGGUUUGUCGCGUUGUUCGUGAAAACUCACAGCUCAACUGUGGGCGUGCGGGCGAUACGGGCAGACUGGAGUACUGCAGGGGGAGACUGGAAUUCCUGGUGUAGCGGUGGAAUGCGCAGAUAUCAGGAGGAACACCGGUGGCGAAGGCGGGUCUCUGGGCAGUAACUGACGCUGAGGAGCGAAAGCGUGGGGAGCGAACAGG
rnacentral:rRNA from 1 species